rnacentral:rRNA from 1 species
UACGUAGGGUGCAAGCGUUAAUCGGAAUUACUGGGCGUAAAGCGUGCGCAGGCGGUCUUGCAAGACAGAUGUGAAAUCCCCGGGCUUAACCUGGGAACUGCAUUUGUGACUGCAAGGCUGGAGUGCGGCAGAGGGGGAUGGAAUUCCGCGUGUAGCAGUGAAAUGCGUAGAUAUGCGGAGGAACGCCGAUGGCGAAGGCAAUCCCCUGGGCCUGCACUGACGCUCAUGCACGAAAGCGUGGGGAGCAAACAGG